rnacentral:tRNA from 1 species
GCGGGUGUCGUAUAAUGGCUAUUAUUUUUCUCUUCCAAGGAAAAGAUGACGGUUCGAAUCCGUUCACCCGCU